UGCAGUCGACGAUGAUCCGGUGCUUGCAUCGGGGAUUAGUGGCGAACGGGUGAGUAACACGUGAGUAACCUGCCCUUAACUCUGGGAUAAGCCUGGGAAACUGGGUCUAAUACCGGAUAUGACUCCUCAUCGCAUGGUGGGGGGUGGAAAGCUUUUGUGGUUUUGGAUGGACUCGCGGCCUAUCAGCUUGUUGGUGAGGUAAUGGCUCACCAAGGCGACGACGGGUAGCCGGCCUGAGAGGGUGACCGGCCACACUGGGACUGAGACACGGCCCAGACUCCUACGGGAGGCAGCAGUGGGGAAUAUUGCACAAUGGGCGCAAGCCUGAUGCAGCGACGCCGCGUGAGGGAUGACGGCCUUCGGGUUGUAAACCUCUUUCAGUAGGGAAGAAGCGAAAGUGACGGUACCUGCAGAAGAAGCGCCGGCUAACUACGUGCCAGCAGCCGCGGUAAUACGUAGGGCGCAAGCGUUAUCCGGAAUUAUUGGGCGUAAAGAGCUCGUAGGCGGUUUGUCGCGUCUGCCGUGAAAGUCCGGGGCUCAACUCCGGAUCUGCGGUGGGUACGGGCAGACUAGAGUGAUGUAGGGGAGACUGGAAUUCCUGGUGUAGCGGUGAAAUGCGCAGAUAUCAUGAGGAACACCGAUGGCGAAGGCAGGUCUCUGGGCAUUAACUGACGCUGAGGAGCGAAAGCAUGGGGGAGCGAACAGGAUUAGAUACCCUGGUAGUCCAUGCCGUAAACGUUGGGCACUACGGUGAGGGGGACAUUCCCACGUUUUCCGCGCCGUAGCUAACGCAUUAAAGUGCCCCGCCUGGGGGAGUACUGGCCGCAAAGGCUAAAACUCCAAAGGGAAUUGACGGGGGGCCCCGCACAAAGCGGCC
rnacentral:rRNA from 1 species